UCGCUUCAGCAGCACAUAUACUAAAAUUGGAACGAUACAGAGAAGAUUAGCAUGGCCCCUGUGCAGGUAUGACAUGCAAAUUCGUGAGGCAUUCCAUAUUUAA
ensembl:snRNA U6 U6 spliceosomal RNA